rnacentral:rRNA from 1 species
UACAGAGGGGGCAAGCGUUAUUCGGAAUUAUUGGGCGUAAAGGGCGCGUAGGCGGCGAUUCAAGUGACGGGUGAAAUCCCUCGGCUUAACCGGGGAACUGCCUGUCAGACUGGAUUGCUUGAGGCCGGGAGAGGCGAGUGGAAUUCCCAGUGUAGCGGUGAAAUGCGUAGAUAUUGGGAGGAACACCAGUGGCGAAGGCGGCUCGCUGGACCGGUUCUGACGCUGAGGCGCGAAAGCGUGGGGAGCAAACAGG